rnacentral:rRNA from 1 species
UACCAGCACCCCGAGUGGUCGGGACGUUUAUUGGGCCUAAAGCAUCCGUAGCCGGUUCUACAAGUCUUCCGUUAAAUCCAGCUGCUUAACAGAUGGGCUGCGGAAGAUACUAUGGAGCUAGGAGGCGGGAGAGGCAAGCGGUACUCGAUGGGUAGGAGUAAAAUCCGUUGAUCCAUUGAAGACCACCAGUGGCGAAGGCGGCUUGCCAGAACGCGCUCGACGGUGAGGGAUGAAAGCUGGGGGAGCAAACCGG